AAAUCUGUCACAGAAUUUUGAGACC
rnacentral:piRNA from 3 species